GAGCCGGAGCUGGAGCAGCAGCAGCGACGCAGGGCACCCAACAUGGGAACAACGGUAGCAUUUCUGGUCAGGAGUAAAAGUCCACCGAGAAGCGUCCAGAAGUCAGCAGAACAAACAGGCUUUUGGGCUGAUUAACUAUGCUGCAGAUUGAUUUAGAAAUAUCGAAGGGUACAAACCUGUAACACUGCUCUAAUUUAAGAAGACAACUGAUGAGUAUACAGGAUUUUCAAAGCAAGAUCUGUGCCUACAUAACAGGGCUUGCUGACAGAUCAAAUGACAAAUCCUGCUUUUUCCUGUUCCCAAAAGAGGAAGCCCAACUUCAGUGCACAUGUGAAUCAACUGCUGUUGCCAAAAUGGAAAUGAUGUCUUUUGGGCUUUGAAAGGAGGAUAAUAUAAUAGCAGAACUGAGUUUGGAACAUGAUGCUGUCUUCAGUGACCUGUUAACAAGAAAGAGCUGAAGAACUGGGCCAGAAUAUAUUCUUUGUGUUUUCCAAUGCAGAUACAUACAGAAAUCCAUAUUUUCAAAUGUUUGUGUCUGAAAUUAGGCAGAUAAGCACUUGCAGGAGCUCAGAACAUGCCAUUCCUUUUGGAUUUAUGCUGAUCUCAUGAUCCCAGG
rnacentral:lncRNA from 1 species